rnacentral:rRNA from 1 species
CUGGUUGAUCCUGCCAGUAGUUAUAUGCUUGUCUCAAAGAUUAAGCCAUGCCUGUCUAAGUAUAAGUUCUAUACAGCGAAACUGUGAAUGGCUCAUUAUAACAGUUAUGAUUUCCUAGCCGGUCAGUGAUUCAUUGGAUACCCAUGGUAAUUCUAGAGCUAAUACAUGCUUACAAACCCAACUUCACGGAAGGGUUGCACUUAUUAGAUACCGAACCAGCCCACACUCUGUGUGGUUUUUGUUGAUUCAUAGUAGUCUGGCGAAUCGCCUAUCGAGGCGAUGAGGCUAUCAAGUUUCUGACCUAUCAGCUUCCGACGGUAGGGUAUCGGCCUACCGUGGCUUUAACGGGUAACGGAGAAUUAGGGUUCGAUUCCGGAGAGGGAGCCUGAGAAACGGCUACCACAUCUAAGGAAGGCAGCAGGCGCGUAAAUUACCCAAUCCUGACUCAGGGAGGUAGUGACAAGAAAUAUCAAUAUAAGACUUUUAUGUCUUGUAAUUGGGAUGAGCGAAACAUAAACCGCUUCUCGAGUAUCAAUUGGAGGGCAAGUCUGG